rnacentral:rRNA from 1 species
AUUGAACGCUGGCGGCAGGCCUAACACAUGCAAGUCGAGCGGCAGCGACUUAACUGAACCUUCGGGGAACGUUAAGGGCGGCGAGCGGCGGACGGGUGAGUAAUGCCUGGGAAUAUGCCCUGAUGUGGGGGAUAACUAUUGGAAACGAUAGCUAAUACCGCAUAAUCUCUUCGGAGCAAAGAGGGGGACCUUCGGGCCUCUCGCGUCAGGAUUAGCCCAGGUGGGAUUAGCUUGUUGGUGAGGUAAUGGCUCACCAAGGCAACGAUCCCUAGCUGGUCUGAGAGGAUGAUCAGCCACACUGGAACUGAGACACGGUCCAGACUCCUACGGGAGGCAGCAGUGGGGAAUAUUGCACAAUGGGGGAAACCCUGAUGCAGCCAUGCCGCGUGUGUGAAGAAGGCCUUCGGGUUGUAAAGCACUUUCAGUAGGGAGGAAGGUAGUGCAGUUAACACCUGCACUAUUUGACGUUACCUACAGAAGAAGCACCGGCUAACUCCGUGCCAGCAGCCGCGGUAAUACGGAGGGUGCGAGUGUUAAUCGGAAUUACUGGGCGUAAAGCGCAUGCAGGCGGCCUGUUAAGUCAGAUGUGAAAGCCCGGGGCUUAACCUCGGAAUUGCAUUUGAAACUGGCAGGCUAGAGUCUUGUAGAGGGGGGUAGAAUUUCAGGUGUAGCGGUGAAAUGCGUAGAGAUCUGAAGGAAUACCAGUGGCGAAGGCGGCCCCCUGGACAAAGACUGACGCUCAGAUGCGAAAGCGUGGGGAGCAAACAGG